rnacentral:rRNA from 1 species
AUUGAACGCUGGCGGCAGGCCUAACACAUGCAAGUCGAGCGGAUGAAGGGAGCUUGCUCCUGGAUUCAGCGGCGGACGGGUGAGUAAUGCCUAGGAAUCUGCCUGGUAGUGGGGGAUAACGUCCGGAAACGGGCGCUAAUACCGCAUACGUCCUGAGGGAGAAAGUGGGGGAUCUUCGGACCUCACGCUAUCAGAUGAUCCUAGGUCGGAUUAGCUAGUUGGUGGGGUAAAGGCCUACCAAGGCGACGAUCCGUAACUGGUCUGAGAGGAUGAUCAGUCACACUGGAACUGAGACACGGUCCAGACUCAUACGGGAGGCAGCAGUGGGGAAUAUUGGACAAUGGGCGAAAGCCUGAUCCAGCCAUGCCGCGUGUGUGAAGAAGGUCUUCGGAUUGUAGAGCACUUUACGUUGGGAGGAAGGGCAGUAAGUUAAUACCUUGCUGUUUUGACGUUACCAACAGAAUAAGCACCGGCUAACUUCGUG